AUUGAACGCUGGCGGAAUGCUUUACACAUGCAAGUCGAACGGUAGAGGGGGCAACCCCCUUGAGAGUGGCGAACGGGUGAGUAAUAUAUCGGAACGUGCCCAGUCGUGGGGAUAACGUAGCGAAAGUUACGCUAAUACCGCAUACGAUCUAAGGAUGAAAGCGGGGGAUCGCAAGACCUCGCGCGAUUGGAGCGGCCGAUAUCAGAUUAGGUAGUUGGUGAGGUAAAGGCUCACCAAGCCAACGAUCUGUAGCUGGUCUGAGAGGACGACCAGCCACACUGGAACUGAGACACGGUCCAGACUCCUACGGGAGGCAGCAGUGGGGAAUUUUGGACAAUGGACGCAAGUCUGAUCCAGCCAUUCCGCGUGCAGGAUGAAGGCCCUCGGGUUGUAAACUGCUUUUGUACGGAACGAAAGGUGAGCUCUAAUACAGUUUGCUAAUGACGGUACCGUAAGAAUAAGCACCGGCUAACUACGUGCCAGCAGCCGCGGUAAAGUG
rnacentral:rRNA from 1 species